GACGAACGCUGGCGGCGUGCUUAACACAUGCAAGUCGAACGAAGUGGCGAACGGGUGAGUAACGCGUAAUCAACCUGCCCUUCAGCGGGGGACAACAGUAGGAAACGACUGCUAAUACCGCAUACUGAAGGAGGGGAUUGCGUCUGAUGAGCUCGUUGGAGGGGUAACGGCCCACCAAGGCGUUGAGCAGGAACCAGUCUGAGAGGAUGAACGGCCACAUGGGAUCUGAGACACGGCCCAGACUCCUACGGGAGGCAGCAGUGGGGAAUCUUCCGCAAUGGACGAAAGUCUGACGGGGCAACGCCGCGUGAGUGAUGACGGCCUUCGGAUUGUAAAGCUCUGUUAAUCGGGACACGGUACCGGAAUAGAAGGCCACGGCUGACUACGAGCCAAGAACCGCGGUAAUAC
rnacentral:rRNA from 1 species